GCGCCACCACACCUGGCUAAUAUUUUGUAAUUUUAGUAGAGACGGGGUUUCACUGUGUUAGCCAGGAUGGUCCAAAAAUGUUAAAGGAGAGAAAUAGUUGUUAACUUUUUGGUUCAGAGACUCCUUUAAGAAUGGGAUAAUUGGCCGGGUGCGGGGGAAGGUAGAUAAAAACCAAAACCAUCUUAAAUUGUGAUGGAGUCGAUAAAGAAAACUAACACAACAAACCAGAGGCCAGACGCGGUGGCUCACGCCUGAAAUCCCAGCACUUUGGGAGGCCAAGGUGGGCGUAUCACCUAAGGUCAGGAGUUCGAGACCUCAUCUCCUCUAAAAUUACAACAAAUUAGUCGGGCGUGGUGGCAGACACAUCUAGUCCCAGUUACUUGGGAGGCUGAGGCAUGAGAAUCACUGGAACCCGAGAGGCAGAGGUUGUAGUGAGAAGAGAUUGGGUGAUCAAGCAAGACUCCAUCUCAAAUAACAACAACAAAACAAAACAUAGGUUGGGGGGAAAGGAAGAGAAUGGAACCAAUUUUGUGACUUUUCUUUUUUUCUUUUUUCUUUUCCUUUUCUUUUUCUUUUUCUUUUUCUUUUUUUUUUUGAGACAGGGUCUCACUCUGCGGCCCAGGCUGGAAUGCAGUGGCACAAUCAUAGCUCACUGUAACCUCAAGUGAUCCUCCCACUUCAGCCUCCCCAAAGUGCUGGGAUUACAGGCAGGCACCACCACAUCAGGUCUAUUUUGUAACCUUUUAUUAUGGAGUAUUUCAAACAUACACAGAAGUUUCUAGAAGGAUAAUAAAUACCCACCAUGCGUCUUCAACAGUCUUCAAUAAGUAGCUAAUUUUGUACUGUCUACAACCCACUAAUUUACUCCUCUCCAAUUAUUUUGAAGCAAAUCCAUAUCAUUUCACCCAUAAAGAUUUUAGUAUGGGCUGGGUGUGGUUGUUCACAUCUGUAAUCUCAGCACUUUGAGAGUCUGAGGCAAGAGGUUCACUUGAGCCCAGGAAUUUGAGACCAGCCUGGGCAAUAUAGCAAGACUCUGUCUCUAUUUUUUAAAAAAGAUUUUUGUACGUAUAUUCUAAGACCUAGACACAAAGUCAUUAUCAUACCAGAAACAGAAACAAACUCUUUUUCUAAUCAGUGAUUGAAAUUGCUUUUGAUAUAUUGGCUCAGGAACACCUCUUUAAGGAGGUGGCAUUAGAUCUGAGACAUAGGGCAAGCAAGGCUUCCUAAAUUAUACGCUGUAAGGACUGGUUUUUCUGUUUUUUCAAAUUUCUAAUCUGAUGUGAAAUAUGUGAAAUGCAAUAACAAUUACCUCAAGUAAAAUUUUAAAACUUAUACAGAGCAGAUAUUACAUAACCAACUAUGUCCCUGGGCCCAAAUCAAGUCUACAGUCUGAUUGCUUAGAGCUCCUAAGCUUAGAAUGUUUUCACAUUUUAAUAUGGUUGGUACAAAAUAAAAAGAUUUCAUGACAUGUAAAAAUUACGUGAAAUUCAGUCCAGGUGCAGUGGCUCACACCUUUAGCACUUUGGGAGGCUGAGGCAGGAGGAUCACUUGAGCCUAGGAAUUUGCGGCUGCUAUGAGCUGUGGUCACGCCAGUGCACUCAAACCUGGGCUACAGAGCAAGACCCUGUCUCAAAAAAAAAAAAAAAAAAUUCAAAUAUCAGUCAUCAUGAAUAGUUUUAUUGGAACAUAGCCACACUUGUUCAUAUUAGGCUCAAUUUCAUAUGUUUCUCACUGCAACAGCAGAGCUGAAUAUGACAAAGACCAUGUGGCCCUCAAGCCUAAAAUAUUUGCUGUCUGGCAUUUUACAGAAAAUUAUUGUUGACUCAUAAUAAAUCCAAGACCCAAUUUUAUAUUAUCAUAUUCGAGAGACAAAACUACUCUGUCAAAUAACUAUCGACUUUGCUCU
rnacentral:lncRNA from 10 species